rnacentral:rRNA from 1 species
UAACACGUAUCCAACCUGCCUCAUACUCGGGGACAGCCUUUCGAAAGAAAGAUUAAUACCCGAUGUCAUAGUCCUACCGCAUGAUGGGAUUAUUAAAGAAUUUCGGUAUGGGAUGGGGAUGCGUUCCAUUAGUUAGUUGGCGGGGUGACGGCCCACCAAGACAACGAUGGAUAGGGGUUCUGAGAGGAAGGUCCCCCACAUUGGAACUGAGACACGGUCCAAACUCCUACGGGAGGCAGCAGUGAGGAAUAUUGGUCAAUGGACGAGAGUCUGAACCAGCCAAGUAGCGUGAAGGAUGACUGCCCUAUGGGUUGUAAACUUCUUUUAUAUGGGAAUAAAACGUUCCACGUGUGGAAUUUUGUAUGUACCAUAUGAAUAAGGAUCGGCUAACUCCGUGCCAGCAGCCGCGGUAAUACGGAGGAUCCGAGCGUUAUCCGGAUUUAUUGGGUUUAAAGGGAGCGUAGGUGGAUUGUUAAGUCAGUUGUGAAAGUUUGCGGCUCAACCGUAAAAUUGCAGUUGAAACUGGCAGUCUUGAGUACAGUAGAGGUGGGCGGAAUUCGUGGUGUAGCGGUGAAAUGCUUAGAUAUCACGAAGAACUCCGAUCGCGAAGGCAGCUCACUGGACUGCAACUGACACUGAGGCUCGAAAGUGUGGGUAUCAAACAGGAUUAGAUACCCUGGUAGUCCACACAGU